AUUGAACGCUGGCGGCAUGCCUUACACAUGCAAGUCGAACGGCAGCACGGGAGCAAUCCUGGUGGCGAGUGGCGAACGGGUGAGUAAUAUAUCGGAACGUGCCCGGUCGUGGGGAUAACCGUAGCGAAAGCUACGCUAAUACCGCAUACGAUCUACGGAUGAAAGCGGGGGAUCGCAAGACCUCGCGCGAUUGGAGCGGCCGAUAUCAGGAUUAGGUAGUUGGUGAGGUAAAGGCUCACCAAGCCGACGAUCUGUAGCUGGUCUGAGAGGACGACCAGCCACACUGGGACUGAGACACGGCCCAGACUCCUACGGAGGCAGCAGUGGGGAAUAUUGGGCAAUGGGCGAAAGCCUGA
rnacentral:rRNA from 1 species